rnacentral:rRNA from 1 species
UAUAAGCAAUUAUACAGCGAAACUGCGAAUGGCUCAUUAUAUAAGUUAUCGUUUAUUUGAUAGUGCCUUACUACUUGGAUAACCGUGGUAAUUCUAGAGCUAAUACAUGCUAAAAACCCCAACUUCGGAAGGGGUGUAUUUAUUAGAUACAAAACCAAUGCCCUUCGGGGCUCUUUGGUGAUUCAUGAUAACUAUACGAAUCGCACGGCCUUGCGCCGGCGAUGGUUCAUUCAAAUUUCUUCCCUAUCAACUUUCGAUGUUUGGGUAUUGGCCAAACAUGGUUGCAACGGGUAACGGAGGGUUAGGGCUCGACCCCGGAGAAGGAGCCUGAGAAACGGCUACUACAUCCAAGGAAGGCAGCAGGCGCGCAAAUUACCCAAUCCCGACUCGGGGAGGUAGUGACAAUAAAUACUGAUACAGGGCCCUUUCGGGCCUUGUAAUUGGAAUGAGUACAAUUUAAAUCCCUUAACGAGGAACAAUUGGAGGGCAAGUCUGGUGCCAGCAGCCGCGGUAAUUCCAGCUCCAAUAGCGUAUAUUAAAGUUGUUGUGGUUAAAAAGCUCGUAGUUGAACCUUGGGCCUGGCUGGCCGGUCCGCCUCACCGCGUGCACUGGUCCGGCCGGGCCUUUCCCUCUGUGGAACCCCAUACCCUUCACUGGGCGUGGCGGGGAAACAGGACAUUUACUUUGAAAAAAUUAGAGUGCUCCAGGCAGGCCUAUGCUCGAAUACAUUAGCAUGGAAUAAUAAAAUAGGACGCGCGGUUCUAUUUUGUUGGUUUAUAGGACCGCCGUAAUGAUUAAUAGGGACAGUCGGGGGCAUCAGUAUUCAAAUGUCAGAGGUGAAAUUCUUGGAUCAUUUGAAGACUAACUACUGCGAAAGCAUUUGCCAAGGAUGUUUUCAUUAAUCAGGAACGAAAGUUAGGGGAUCGAAGACGAUCAGAUACCGUCGUAGUCUUAACCAUAAACUAUGCCGACUAGGGAUCGGACGGUGUUAUUCAUGACCCGUUCGGCACCUUACGAGAAAUCAAAGUGCUUGGGCUCCAGGG